CCCUUAGAUGUUCUGGGCCGCACGCGCGCUACACUGUCGAUGGCAACGAGUUUUUCCUUCGCCGAAAGGUGUGGGUAAUCUUUUGAAACAUCGUCGUGCUGGGGAUAGAUCAUUGCAAUUUUUGAUCUUGAACGAGGAAUUCCUAGUAAGCGCGAGUCAUCAGCUCGCGUUGAUUACGUCCCUGCCCUUUGUACACACCGCCCGUCGCUACUACCGAUUGAAUGGUUUAGUGAGGACUCCUGAUUGGCGCCGCCGCCCCGGCAACGGAGCAGCGGACUGCCGAAAAGUUGUUCAAACUUGAUCAUUUAGAGGAAGUAAAAGUCGUAACA
rnacentral:rRNA from 1 species